rnacentral:rRNA from 1 species
UACGGGGGGGGCGAAGCGUUGUUCGGUAAUUACUGGGCGUAAAGGGCUCGUAGGUGGCCAACUAAGUCAGACGUGAAAUCCCUCGGCUUAACCGGGGAACUGCGUCUGAUACUGGAUGGCUAGAGAUUGGGAGAGGGAUGCGGAAUUCCAGGUGUAGCGGUGAAAUGCGUAGAUAUCUGGAGGAACACCGGUGGCGAAGGCGGCAUCCUGGACCAACACUGACGCUGAGGAGCGAAAGCCAGGGGAGCAAACGGGG